rnacentral:rRNA from 1 species
UGGGGAAUCUUGGACAAUGGGCGCAAGCCUGAUCCAGCCAUGCCGCGUGAGUGAAGAAGGCCUUCGGGUUGUAAAGCUCUUUUGUCAGGGAAGAAACGGUAGUAGCGAAUAACUAUUACUAAUGACGGUACCUGAAGAAUAAGCACCGGCUAACUACGUGCCAGCAGCCGCGGUAAUACGUAGGGUGCAAGCGUUAAUCGGAAUUACUGGGCGUAAAGCGUGCGCAGGCGGUUGUGUAAGUCAGAUGUGAAAUCCCCGGGCUCAACCUGGGAAUUGCAUUUGAGACUGCACGGCUAGAGUGUGUCAGAGGGGGGUAGAAUUCCACGUGUAGCAGUGAAAUGCGUAGAUAUGUGGAGGAAUACCGAUGGCGAAGGCAGCCCCCUGGGAUAACACUGACGCUCAUGCACGAAAGCGUGGGGAGCAAACAGGAUUAGAUACCCAGGUAGUCCCUGAGCGGGCUGGCAAGGCGCAU